UCUCUUUGAAAACACUCACAUUCUUUAUACAUGUAGAUUCUGACUUAGGAAGCAACCCUUUGAUUAAAUUUAAAGGGCUUAUCUUUUAUUAUUUUGAGAAGUAGCAAUGUCUAUUUAACACCAACAUUGCUUAAAUACAGUACCAUAACCUGGACUGAAUAAUUAUUAAAGUACAUGACUGCUGUAGCAGACUCACAAGAAGGAAAC